GAAGUACUCCCUCCGUUCCAAAUUACUUGUCUUGAAUUUGUCUAGACACGGAUGUAUCUAGACUCAUUUUAGUGCUAGAUACAUCCGUAUCUAGACAAAUUCAAGACAAGUAAUUCGGAACGGAGGGAGUAGCAC
rnacentral:pre_miRNA from 1 species